GACGAACGCUGGCGGCGUGCCUAAUACAUGCAAGUAGAACGCUGAAGAGAGGAGCUUGCUCUUCUUGGAUGAGUUGCGAACGGGUGAGUAACGCGUAGGUAACCUGCCUUGUAGCGGGGGAUAACUAUUGGAAACGAUAGCUAAUACCGCAUAACAACGGAUGACACAUGUCAUUUAUUUGAAAGGGGCAAUUGCUCCACUACAAGAUGGACCUGCGUUGUAUUAGCUAGUAGGUGAGGUAAUGGCUCACCUAGGCGACGAUACAUAGCCGACCUGAGAGGGUGAUCGGCCACACUGGGACUGAGACACGGCCCAGACUCCUACGGGAGGCAGCAGUAGGGAAUCUUCGGCAAUGGGGGCAACCCUGACCGAGCAACGCCGCGUGAGUGAAGAAGGGUUUCGGAUCGUAAAGCUCUGUUGUAAGUCAAGAACGGGUGUGAGAGUGGAAAGUUCACACUGUGACGGUAGCUUACCAGAAAGGGACGGCUAACUACGUG
rnacentral:rRNA from 1 species